AGCGAACGCUGGCGGCAGGCCUAACACAUGCAAGUCGAACGGAUCCUUCGGGAUUAGUGGCGGACGGGUGAGUAACACGUGGGAACGUGCCCUUUGGUUCGGAACAACUCAGGGAAACUUGAGCUAAUACCGGAUGUGCCCUUCGGGGGAAAGAUUUAUCGCCAUUGGAGCGGCCCGCGUCUGAUUAGCUAGUUGGUGAGGUAAAGGCUCACCAAGGCGACGAUCAGUAGCUGGUCUGAGAGGAUGAUCAGCCACAUUGGGACUGAGAACACGGCCCAAACUCCUACGGGAGGCAGCAGUGGGGAAUCUUGCGCAAUGGGCGAAAGCCUGACGCAGCCAUGCCGCGUGAAUGAUGAAGGUCUUAGGAUUGUAAAAUUCUUUCACCGGGGACGAUAAUGACGGUACCCGGAGAAGAAGCCCCGGCUAACUUCGUGCCAGCCGCCGCAGUAAUAC
rnacentral:rRNA from 1 species